rnacentral:rRNA from 1 species
ACAAGCGUGGAGCAUGUGGUUUAAUUCGAUGCAACGCGAAGAACCUUUACUGGGCUUGACAUCCACGGAACCUGCUGGAAACAGUGGGGUGCCUUUCGGGGAGCCGUGAGACAGGUGCUGCAUGGGCUGUCGUCAGCUCGUGUCGUGAGAUGUUGGGUUUAAGUCCCGCAACGAGCGCAACCCUUGUCUUUAAUUGCCAUCAUUCAGUUGGGCACUUUAAAGAGACUGUCGGUGUUAAACCGGAGGAAGGUGGGGAUGACGUCAAGUCCUCAUGGCCUUUAUGCCCAGGGCUACACACGUGCUACAAUGGGUGGUACAAAGAGCAGCAAGCUCGCGAGAGCAAGCGAAUCUCAAAAAGCCAUCCUCAGUUCGGAUUGAGGUCUGCAACUCGACUUCAUGAAGUCGGAAUCGCUAGUAAUCGCGGAUCAGCAUGCCGCGGUGAAUACGUUCCCGGGCCUU